GGUUAAGCGACUAAGCGUACACGGUGGAUGCCCUGGCAGUCAGAGGCGAUGAAGGACGUGCUAAUCUGCGAAAAGCGACGGCGAGGUGAUAUGAACCCUUGACCCGUCGAUGUCCGAAUGGGGAAACCCAGUGUGUUUCGACACACUAUCGUUAACUGAAUACAUAGGUUAACGAGGCGAACCGGGGGAACUGAAACAUCUAAGUACCCCGAGGAAAAGAAAUCAACCGAGAUUCCCCCAGUAGCGGCGAGCGAACGGGGAGCAGCCCGGAGUCUGAAUCAGCUUGUGUGUUAGUGGAAGCGUCUGGAAAGUCGCACGGUACAGGGUGACAGUCCCGUACACGAAAAUGCACAGGUUGUGAACUCGAAGAGUAGGGCGGGACACGUGGUAUCCUGUCUGAAUAUGGGGGGACCAUCCUCCAAGGCUAAAUACUCCUGACUGACCGAUAGUGAACCAGUACCGUGAGGGAAAGGCGAAAAGAACCCCGGCGAGGGGAGUGAAAAAGAACCUGAAACCGUGUACGUACAAGCAGUGGGAGCACCUUCGGGUGUGACUGCGUACCUUUUGUAUAAUGGGUCAGCGACUUAUAUUCUGUAGCAAGGUUAACCGUAUAGGGGAGCCGCAGGGAAACCGAGUCUUAACUGGGCGUUAAGUUGCAGGGUAUAGACCCGAAACCCGGUGAUCUAGCCAUGGGCAGGUUGAAGGUUGGGUAACACUAACUGGAGGACCGAACCGACUAAUGUUGAAAAAUUAGCGGAUGACCUGUGGCUGGGGGUGAAAGGCCAAUCAAACCGGGAGAUAGCUGGUUCUCCCCGAAAGCUAUUUAGGUAGCGCCUCGUGAACUCAUCUUCGGGGGUAGAGCACUGUUUCGGCUAGGGGGCCAUCCCGGCUUACCAACCCGAUGCAAACUACGAAUACCGAAGAAUGUUAUCACGGGAGACACACGGCGGGUGCUAACGUCCGUCGUGAAGAGGGAAACAACCCAGACCGCCAGCUAAGGUCCCAAAGUCAUGGUUAAGUGGGAAACGAUGUGGGAAGGCACAGACAGCCAGGAUGUUGGCUUAGAAGCAGCCAUCAUUUAAAGAAAGCGUAAUAGCUCACUGGUCGAGUCGGCCUGCGCGGAAGAUGUAACGGGGCUAAACCAUGCACCGAAGCUGCGGCAGCGACGCUUAUGCGUUGUUGGGUAGGGGAGCGUUCUGUAAGCCGUUGAAGGUGUGCUGUGAGGCAUGCUGGAGGUAUCAGAAGUGCGAAUGCUGACAUAAGUAACGAUAAAGCGGGUGAAAAGCCCGCUCGCCGGAAGACCAAGGGUUCCUGUCCAACGUUAAUCGGGGCAGGGUGAGUCGACCCCUAAGGCGAGGCCGAAAGGCGUAGUCGAUGGGAAACAGGUUAAUAUUCCUGUACUUGGUGUUACUGCGAAGGGGGGACGGAGAAGGCUAUGUCAGCCGGGCGACGGUUGUCCCGGUUUAAGCGUGUAGGUGUGUGUUCCAGGCAAAUCCGGUUCACUUUAACACUGAGGCGUGAUGACGAGGCACUACGGUGCUGAAGUGAUAAAUGCCCUGCUUCCAGGAAAAGCCUCUAAGCAUCAGGUAACACGAAAUCGUACCCCAAACCGACACAGGUGGUCAGGUAGAGAAUACCAAGGCGCUUGAGAGAACUCGGGUGAAGGAACUAGGCAAAAUGGUGCCGUAACUUCGGGAGAAGGCACGCUGAUAUGUAGGUGAAGUCCCUGCGGACGGAGCUGAAAUCAGUCGAAGAUACCAGCUGGCUGCAACUGUUUAUUAAAAACACAGCACUGUGCAAACACGAAAGUGGACGUAUACGGUGUGACGCCUGCCCGGUGCCGGAAGGUUAAUUGAUGGGGUUAGCGGCAACGCGAAGCUCUUGAUCGAAGCCCCGGUAAACGGCGGCCGUAACUAUAACGGUCCUAAGGUAGCGAAAUUCCUUGUCGGGUAAGUUCCGACCUGCACGAAUGGCGUAAUGAUGGCCAGGCUGUCUCCACCCGAGACUCAGUGAAAUUGAACUCGCUGUGAAGAUGCAGUGUACCCGCGGCAAGACGGAAAGACCCCGUGAACCUUUACUAUAGCUUGACACUGAACACUGGUCCUUGAUGUGUAGGAUAGGUGGGAGGCUUUGAAGCGUGGACGCCAGUCUGCGUGGAGCCAUCCUUGAAAUACCACCCUUUAAUGGCUGGUGUUCUAACGUGGACCCGUGAUCCGGGUUGCGGACAGUGUCUGGUGGGUAGUUUGACUGGGGCGGUCUCCUCCCAAAGAGUAACGGAGGAGCACGAAGGUUAGCUAAUCCUGGUCGGACAUCAGGAGGUUAGUGCAAUGGCAUAAGCUAGCUUGACUGCGAGAGUGACGGCUCGAGCAGGUGCGAAAGCAGGUCAUAGUGAUCCGGUGGUUCUGAAUGGAAGGGCCAUCGCUCAACGGAUAAAAGGUACUCCGGGGAUAACAGGCUGAUACCGCCCAAGAGUUCAUAUCGACGGCGGUGUUUGGCACCUCGAUGUCGGCUCAUCACAUCCUGGGGCUGAAGUAGGUCCCAAGGGUAUGGCUGUUCGCCAUUUAAAGUGGUACGCGAGCUGGGUUUAGAACGUCGUGAGACAGUUCGGUCCCUAUCUGCCGUGGGCGCUGGAGAAUUGAGGGGGGCUGCUCCUAGUACGAGAGGACCGGAGUGGACGCAUCACUGGUGUUCGGGUUGUCAUGCCAAUGGCACUGCCCGGUAGCUAAAUGCGGAAGAGAUAAGUGCUGAAAGCAUCUAAGCACGAAACUUGCCCCGAGAUGAGUUCUCCCUGAGACUUUAAGUCUCCUGAAGGAACGUUGAAGACGACGACGUUGAUAGGCCGGGUGUGUAAGCGCAGCGAUGCGUUGAGCUAACCGGUACUAAUGAACCGUGAGGCUUAACCUU
rnacentral:rRNA from 1 species